GACGAACGCUGGCGGCGUGCUUAACACAUGCAAGUCGAACGGAAAGGCCCUGCUUUUGUGGGGUGCUCGAGUGGCGAACGGGUGAGUAACACGUGAGUAACCUGCCCUUGACUUUGGGAUAACUUCAGGAAACUGGGGCUAAUACCGGAUAGGAGCUCCUGCUGCAUGGUGGGGGUUGGAAAGUUUCGGCGGUUGGGGAUGGACUCGCGGCUUACCAGCUUGUUGGUGGGGUAGUGGCUUACCAAGGCUUUGACGGGUAGCCGGCCUGAGAGGGUGACCGGCGACAUUGGGACUGAGAUACGGCCCAGACUGCUACGGGAGGCAGCAGUGGGGAAUAUUGCACAAUGGGCGGAAGCCUGAUGCAGCAACGCCGCGUGCGGGAUGACGGCCUUCGGGGGGUAAACCGCUUUCGCCUGUGACGAAGCGUGAGUGACGGUAAUGGGUAAAGAAGCAACGGCUAACUACGUG
rnacentral:rRNA from 1 species